GUGGUCGCCUCGCCGAGUUCCCUCUCUGGGCGCAGUGAGAUGCCAGGCGACACUUUCUCUUCCGGGGCGAUGGAAUAGCUAACGAAGUGCUUUCCUCAGCCGCCGAACAACCCUGUCAGAACUUCCACUGAACCGAAGGUCAGAACUUCAACUGAAAGUUGUUCCACAUUCGUCGCAUGAUGCAGUUUUGCUUCUGUAUGAAUCUGCUGAUGUCUAGUGAGGUUUGAACUUUACCCUGAAAACCUUCCCACGCUCAACACUGGUUACGUUUUGUUAAGUCUUAUCCAUGCGGUCACGCAGGUCUCCCAGAUGAGCACCCUGGACCCCACUCCUGCCUCUGCAGAUUCUGUUGAGUAUCAUUCUCUGUGAUUCCAUCUCUUCAGAUGCUCACUGCUUUGGAGUCAAUUUUCCUGUCUCAGGCAUGGAGGAGCUGAGCAGAACGAAUCCCAGGACAGGCUGUAGAUUCAACUAGAUUCAACUAGAGGAAAAAGAAGUGGCUAAACCAAGCGUACUCAGAUCUGUCAAAGUUACC